AUUGAACGCUGGCGGCAUGCUUUACACAUGCAAGUCGAACGGUAACAGGCCGCAAGGUGCUGACGAGUGGCGAACGGGUGAGUAAUGCAUCGGAACGUGCCCAGUCGUUGGGGAUAACUACUCGAAAGAGUAGCUAAUACCGCAUACGAUCUAUGGUUGAGAGCGGGGGACCGUAAGGCCUCGCGCGAUUGGUGCGGCCGGUGUCAGAUUAGUUAGGUGGUGGGGUAAAGGCUCACCAAGGCAACGAUCUGUAGCCGAACUGAGCGGACGAGCAGCCACACUGGGAAUGGGACACGGGCCCGACUCCUACGGGAGGGAGCAGUAGGGAAAGUUUGGCAAAGGGGGGAAGCCUGACGCAGGAAAGCCGCGUGAGAGAAAAAGGUCUUCGGGUUGUAAAACUGUUUUUUUAGGGAAGAAAAUGUGUCUGGGUAACUGCGGGGGUAAUGACGGUACCUGAUAAGAAAGCCACGGCUAACUACGUG
rnacentral:rRNA from 1 species